rnacentral:rRNA from 1 species
AUCAACUUUCGAUUGGUAGGAUAGAGGCCUACCAUGGUGGUAACGGGUAACGGGGUGUUAGGGCACGACACCGGAGAGGGAGCCUGAGAAACGGCUACCACAUCCAAGGAUGGCAGCAGGCGCGCAAAUUACCCAAUCCCGACACGGGGAGGUAGUGACAAUAAAUAACAAUACGGGGUUCUUAAGGAUCUCGUAAUUGGAAUGAGUACAAUUUAAAUCUCUUAACGAGGAACAAUUGGAGGGCAAGUCUGGUGCCAGCAGCCGCGGUAAUUCCAGCUCCAAUAGCGUAUAUUAAAGUUGUUGCAGUUAAAAAGCUCGUAGUUGAAUUUCGGGACCAAUUUGUUGGUCGUGCCUCGGUACGUACUGGUAUUAUUGGUUUCUACCUUCUGAAGAACCUUGAUGUCAUUAAUUUGGUGUCUUGGGGAAUCAGGACUGUUACUUUGAAAAAAUUAGAGUGUUUAAAGCAAGCAUACGCUUGAAUACAUUAGCAUGGAAUAAUGAAAUAGGACGUUUGAUUCUAUUUUGUUGGUUUCUAGGAUCGACGUAAUGAUUAAUAGGGAUAGUUGGGGGCAUUAGUAUUCAAUUGUCAGAGGUGAAAUUCUUGGAUUUAUUGAAGACUAACUACUGCGAAAGCAUUUGCCAAGGAUGUUUUCAUUAAUCAAGAACGAAAGUUAGGGGAUCGAAGACGAUCAGAUACCGUCGUAGUCCUAACCAUAAACUAUGCCGACUAGGGAUCGGAUGAUGUUAAUUUUUUAAUGACUCAUUCGGCGCCUUACGGGAAACCAAAGUGUUUGGGUUC